AGGUUACUGCUAUCGAGGUUCGACUAAGCCAUGCGAGUCGAGAGGUGCAAGACCUCGGCAUACUGCUCAGUAACACGUGGACAACCUACCCUUAGGACGGGUAUAAACCCGGGAAACUGGGUAUAAUCCCCGAUAGUCCUCGACUGCUGGAAUGCAUCGAGGACGAAAGCUCCGGCGCCUAUGGAUGGGUCUGCGGCCUAUCAGGUAGUAGUGGGUCUAAAGUACCUACUAGCCUACGACGGGUACGGGUUGUGAGAGCAAGAGCCCGGAGAUGGAUUCUGAGACACGAAUCCAGGCCCUACGGGGUGCAGCAGGCGCGAAAACUUUACAAUGCCGGCAACGGCGAUAAGGGAACCUCGAGUGCCAGGUUAUAAAUCUGGCUGUCGUGAUGCCUAAAAAGCAUUGCAUAGCAAGGGCCGGGCAAGACCGGUGCCAGCCGCCGCGGUAACACCGGCGGCUCGAGUGGUAACCGUUAUUAUUGGGUCUAAAGGGUCUGUAGCCGGCCGGAUAAGUCUCUUGGGAAAUCCAGCAGCUCAACUGUUGGGCUUCCAGGAGAUACUGUCUGGCUCGAGGCCGGGAGAGGUGAGAGGUACUUCAGGGGUAGGGGUGAAAUCUUGUAAUCCUUGAAGGACCACCAGUGGCGAAGGCGUCUCACCAGAACGGACCUGACGGCAAGGGACGAAAGCUAGGGGCACGAACCGGAUUAGAUACCCGGGUAGUCCUAGCCGUAAACGAUACUCGCUAGGUGUCGGCCACGGUGCGACCGUGGUCGGUGCCGUAGGGAAGCCGUGAGGCGAGCCACCUGGGAAGUACGGCCGCAAGGCUGAAACUUAAAGGAAU
rnacentral:rRNA from 1 species